AAAUUGAAGAGUUUGAUCAUGGCUCAGAUUGAACGCUGGCGGCAGGCCUAACACAUGCAAGUCGAACGGUAACAGAAAGCAGCUUGCUGCUUUGCUGACGAGUGGCGGACGGGUGAGUAAUGUCUGGGAAACUGCCUGAUGGAGGGGGAUAACUACUGGAAACGGUAGCUAAUACCGCAUAACGUCGCAAGACCAAAGAGGGGGACCUUCGGGCCUCUUGCCAUCGGAUGUGCCCAGAUGGGAUUAGCUUGUUGGUGGGGUAACGGCUCACCAAGGCGACGAUCCCUAGCUGGUCUGAGAGGAUGACCAGCCACACUGGAACUGAGACACGGUCCAGACUCCUACGGGAGGCAGCAGUGGGGAAUAUUGCACAAUGGGCGCAAGCCUGAUGCAGCCAUGCCGCGUGUAUGAAGAAGGCCUUCGGGUUGUAAAGUACUUUCAGCGGGGAGGAAGGGAGUAAAGUUAAUACCUUU
rnacentral:rRNA from 1 species